rnacentral:lncRNA from 1 species
GGGAGCAAGAAGCCUGUGCCAGUGAUAGCCUGCCAGUAAGCUGGGCAGGGGUCAGCUACAGCUCGCACCAGCACUGACCUGGGCAUUGCGUAGGUCCACACAGUGGGUUCGAACUGAAAAGGCAGGGAGAUCCUCAACGCAUUAAAGAGGAGGAAUUAAAAAGCAAUGCCAAUAUGACAGUUGGAAUCAUAAUGUUGGAGCAAGCACAAAAAGAAACUGUCAGUCACUCUCCAGUUGUUCCUUGCACCUGGCUCAGUGGUACGAUGGAGAGCUCACACCCGCGGACAGAGGCCCGUGUGUUCCUGCACUGAUGCAGUGCUGCUAAUACCAAGCAUCUUCCAGGACUGCGUUAG